CGGAGGGUUGAAUGUGAUGUCGUCUUGCGGGUUGAUGUUGUCGAAGAACGAUGUGUCAAUGUCGUCGGAGGGUUUGGAUUUGAGGGUGGUGGUUGCGAAGAGGAGGGGGAGAGGUUUGGAGAGGAGGGAGGGUGGAGGGAGGAGAGAGAAGCGGGAGGAGGUGGAGAGGGAUAGAGAGGAGAGGGAGUUGAGAGCGGAGGAGAGGGAAGGUGCGGCCAUGGAAGGGGAUGAAGCAGAAGGAAAAAGCUUAUCCUGAUCUUGAAGAACGAUUAAUACUCACUCUGUUGUGGACUAGUGAGGCAGAG
rnacentral:lncRNA from 1 species